rnacentral:rRNA from 1 species
GAUGAACGCUAGCUACAGGCUUAACACAUGCAAGUCGAGGGGAAACGACAUCGAAAGCUUGCUUUUGAUGGGCGUCGACCGGCGCACGGGUGAGUAACGCGUAUCCAACCUGCCCACCACUUGGGGAUAACCUUGCGAAAGUAAGACUAAUACCCGAUGAUAUCCCUAGAAGACAUCUGAAAGGGAUUAAAGAUUUAUCGGUGAUGGAUGGGGAUGCGUCUGAUUAGCUUGUUGGCGGGGUAACGGCCCACCAAGGCGACGAUCAGUAGGGGUUCUGAGAGGAAGGUCCCCCACAUUGGAACUGAGACACGGUCCAAAACUCCUACGGGAGGCAGCAGUGAGGAAUAUUGGUCAAUGGGCGAGAGCCUGAACCAGCCAAGUAGCGUGCAGGACGACGGCCCUAUGGGUUGUAAACUGCUUUUAUAAGGGAAUAAAGUGAGUCUCGUGAGACUUUUUGCAUGUACCUUAUGAAUAAGGACCGGCUAAUUCCGUG